GCGACGAGGUGGAGGUUGGGUGAGGACGACACGUGUUGCAGGGUGAGAAAAAGUCGUAUAAAAUGAGAGAGAAAAGGCGUUGUUGGAAAUCAGUUGAGAGAGCAUCUCCGACACGGCAACAACUGCUGUACACUAUUUGUGACCAAUUGCAUUCUUCAAUGCAGUUAGUUCGCAUUCAUGAAUUAUUAAUUAUCUAGUAAUCUAUGGCGUCCUGCUGUUGGGUGUUGAAUCGUUGAUGGUUGGGUCGACCACUGGUGUACCGAUGUCUCCUGGGUAUGGUGGAUAUCAAAGCACAACAUUACUCAACAUCAACCAACAUCGCUGCUGACGGUGCUCCAGCUUACUACACCAAGGCUCCAAAGUACUACACCACCAAUACUUCAGAGUGUUACAAGUUGCAUCAAAGAAGAGAAAAGGCGAAAUGAGUGAUUAUCUCCGACGCGUCAACAACUGCUGUGCACUAUUUGUCACUAAAUCGCAAUCGUGAUUGCGUCAAAGAAGAGAAAAGGCGAAAUAAUCAGUCGAGUGAUUAUCUCCGACACGACAACAACUUCCGUGCACUAUUUGUUAUCAACUGCCUUCUUCAUCGUCAUUUAUAUGGCAAACUGUGGCGUCGGUUGUCCUGAAAUACUACAUCACCGAGGCUUCAAAGUAUUACGCUACAACUUAUGCUCCCCCGAGCUGCAUAACCAAAGAGCCCGAGUACUGCAUCGUGAUUCCAUUCGUUUUAAGCCAUAACCAUUUGGUAUAAUAGCCGCAGGGCUUAAGAGGUUAGGGUGAGAAAAAGUCGUAUAAAAGGAGAGAGAAAAGGCGUUUGAAAUCAGUUGAGUGAGCAUCUCCGACACGUCAACAACUGCUGUCCACUAUUUGUCACCAACUACCUUCUUCAUCGCAUUACCAGUUCGCAAACAUAGUUUAGAUAACUAUGGCGCCGUGCUGCUGUUUGGUGUUGGAUCGUUAAUGUUUGGGUCGACCACGGGUGUACAGAAGUCUCCUGGACAUGAUGGAUACCAAGCAACAGCAGCGAAAGAA